rnacentral:pre_miRNA from 1 species
UCUUAUAGAUGAGCAAAGAAAGUGGUUUUUUUGAGACUGAAUCUACUCAUGGUGAAGAUGCUGUGAA